rnacentral:rRNA from 1 species
AACCUUGGACUGAGAUCACUCGGCUUCUAUGUCAAUGAAGGCCAUGGCUAUCUGCGUGAAAUGAUGUGAAUUACAGAACUCAGUGAACAUCGAUGCUUUGAACUCGCAUUACGGUCCUAGGAUCCCAUCGUCUCGAGGCCCUGUCCAGUCGAGAAGUCU